ACUUUGUUUGAAAUUUCGCUUUGCGAACGAAAUUUUGCCAACUUAAAUGUUGAAGAAGGCCUUUGGCGCUUAUCCUUAUCAAAAGGCAGAGAAUAAGUGUGGUACAAGGAGUUCAAAAGUGUUCGUGAAUAGUUCGAAGAUCUUCCUCGUUCUGAACGGCCUUCGACGUUAACUACCGCAAAAGACAUCAUGAUUGGAAAAUAGCGCUUGAAAAUGGUUAUCGGAUUAUGUAAACAUCUCGUAAGAAAAGGCCCAGCAUAUUUUAUGCAUGAAACGCGUCAAAACACAGGUUAUGCGGAAAGUGCUGAAUUUUCUUCGAAAAUAUUUUUGAUCAUCGGCUGAAGAGUUGAUUUGGGAAUUUUUGGGAGGCAAGAAGGUUGAGCUGAAUUUUGGAAUGGUGUGCCACGAUUCUACCUCACGGUGAAGAAAAAACGAGUUGAAGUGAAACAACGAAGACUAAUUUGUGUUUGAGUUUUGAAUAUCCCCCUAAGUCCCUUGAGCAACUGGCGAAAUCAAUCAUUACUUAUAUCAAGAACGACACUUCCAAAUUAAUUUACAAAUCAUCGACAUUCAUGUGGAUAGCCUGCAGUAAAAAAAAAGGCUGAACAUCGGUCGAAGGGAUACAAGUAUUGCCCAGUUAUUAACAAACUGUCUACGAGAAGUCAGAAGUCAUUCAGUUAUCUUCUAUUUUUAUAAAUAUAAGCAUAUUUGUAUUAUUCAUAUUUACGUUAGAAAUUGUAUCUCUCUAUUAUUUACACUAUUAGUUUUUCAUUUAUCUACAAAAACUGUAUUUCACGAAAUAAAAAAA